AUGGGGACUGAAUUAUUUCUUGCUAUGCCUCAGUUUCUGAAUCUGGAAAAACGGAGACAAUCCUGCCCACCCCCAGUGGGUUUUCGUACACAGGGCCUUGGGUACAGUAGGAACGCCACUGUCCCCUACCCCAUGCCGUGUAAGCUGCUCCGUGAACACUGCAGUGUUCCGGGGGCACAAGGCUGCCCCUCCCGGUUUGGAAAUCCAAAAGGGAAGCAUAGUCCACACUGUGGGCAUCAGGACACUUUGAAUCCCCUGCUUGGCCAAGGGAGUAGGGGAAUGAAUCAUUUUUGUGUUAACAGAAGGUGUGGAGAAGAGGACAGACAACCUGCCUCCCUGGAAGUCAGAGGGGAGCAGCUGGCCGGCAGGGGGCCGGGAGCAGCUGAGACAGAAUCCCAGCACCAUCGGCCACACGCACUGAUGAUGCCCGGCCCACAGCCUGCCUUCUGGAAGCCAUCACGUCACCGGGAUGCACAGGCGGCUGGACCCGUGGUACAGGCGCAGGGUGUGGGGCCUGAGCCUUGAAGUGGCCGGUCAGGAGGAAGGGAAACGUCUGUGGCCCGCCCAGCCGUCGGACAGGACAGCCCAGCCCAGCAGCCAGAGGGGCCCCUCUCCAUUCCUGAAACAGCCCGUCCUCCCGUCAUCUCGGGCCAGACACCCACAUCAGUGGUGAGGACAGGGGGCGCCACUUCCUCCGGGCCUCGCGAAAGGGUGCACUGUGUCCCAGAGAAGAGAACAAAGAACAUGCCCGCAGGCAGGCUCUCGGAGCAGGAGGCUGGUAGUGCCUGGUUCUACAGCCGGGUGUUGGGGGCACAGCCAGGCCUUGCUGUGCAGGCGCCCUGGGAGCAGCGAUGCUGCCAACAGGGAGCUGGAGAGGAGGCUGGGAGCUGCCUGGAUGGCCCUUGGAGCAGGGGAGGGGUUCGUGAAAAAGGAGGCCCUGAGGUGAGGACGUUGGGGUGGGGUGGGGGGCUACCAGAGGGGUUUAAAGAGGGAACCUCUUCGUUCACAGCUUCAUUCAGUGUUCCUGGAGAAUGGAUUCAAGUACCAGCAGCUCUGGUUGAGGGUUUAGGGUGGAGUGACCAGCAGAUGCUGGGAGAACAGCUGCCCACACACGGGAAGCAUGAGAAACAGCCCGGCAAUGCUCCAACCCUGGCACUGCCCGACCCUACCCU
rnacentral:lncRNA from 1 species